rnacentral:lncRNA from 1 species
UAAAAUAUCCCUUAGUUUUUUACCUGCAUCGAGUCACAUAUAUAAUAUGUUACCAUCACAUCGACCAUCUCUAGAGCAAGUGGCAAAAAGCUUGAUGAUUGAUACCCGAGAUUUCAUGUUCGAAUCUUAGUUGAUUCAUAUUUUUAGCUAAGUUUAUUUCCAAAUGAAAUAAACGAAGCAUGUAGCGUUCUACCUAUCUCUUAAAAAAAUAUGUUAUCAUCACUUUAGUCUUAUAUCUCUUAUGAUUAUCUACACAAACCACUAACCGAUAACACC